CCAAUAGCGUAUAUUAAAGUUGCUGCAGUUAAAAAGCUCGUAGUUGAAUUUCGGGACCAAUAUGUCGGUCGUGCUUCGGUACGUACUGUCAUUAUUGGUUUCUCCCUUCUGAAGAACCUUGAUGUCAUUAAUUUGGUGUCUUGGGGAAUCAGGACUGUUACUUUGAAAAAAUUAGAGUGUUUAAAGCAGGCUCGCGCUUGAAUACAUUAGCAUGGAAUAAUGAAAUAGGACGUUUGAUUCUAUUUUGUUGGUUUCUAGGAUCGACGUAAUGAUUAAUAGGGAUAGUUGGGGGCAUUAGUAUUCAAUUGUCAGAGGUGAAAUUCUUGGAUUUAUUGAAGACUAACUACUGCGAAAGCAUUUGCCAAGGAUGUUUUCAUUAAUCAAGAACGAAAGUUAGGGGAUCGAAGACGAUCAGAUACCGUCGUAGUCUUAACCAUAAACUAUGCCGACUAGGGAUCGGAUGAUGUUAAUUUUUUAAUGACUCAUUCGGCGCCUUGCG
rnacentral:rRNA from 1 species